UAGGGAAUAUUGGUCAAUGGGCGAAAGCCUGAACCAGCAACGCCGCGUGUGUGAUGAAGGCCUUCGGGUCGUAAAGCACUUUUCUGGGAGAUGAGAAAGGACAGUAUCCCAGGAAUAAGUCUCGGCUAACUACGUGCCAGCAGCCGCGGUAAAACGUGGAGGCAAGCGUUAUCCGGAUUCACUGGGCGUAAAGCGCGUGCAGGUGGCGCGGUAAGUUAGGCGUGAAAUCUCCCGGCUCAACUGGGAGAGGUCGUCUAAUACUACCGUGCUUGAGAGCAGAAGAGGAAGAUGGAAUUCCCGGUGUAGUGGUGAAAUGCGUAGAUAUCGGGAGGAACACCAGUGGCGAAGGCGAUCUUCUGGUCUGUUUCUGACACUCAGACGCGACAGCUAGGGUAGCAAACGGGAUUAGAGACCCCGGUAGUCCUAGCCGUAAACGAUGUGAACUUGGCGUCGGUGGGUUAAACUCCAUCGGUGCCGCAGCAAACGCGAUAAG
rnacentral:rRNA from 1 species